AGGUGCAACAGUAAAUUUGCUAAUGUUCCUGUUGUUACAGGCGACCCCUCCUCCCCCAGGUUUUCCUCAACCUGUGUCUUGUGCUCUCAUUGGCUGUAGCUCGUGGCCGGAGUCCCCGACAGGUCCAGAUAUUUAGCAUGCUAGAUAUCUGG